UCGAUCAAAUAAAUUUAUUCUACUGAGUUAAUUUGAUCAAGUAUGGAUAACGGAGGCAUUUCCGGUGAUUUUUAGCUGCUAAAAAGCUAGUAAUGAAGGGGUGCGUUCUUUUCCGAGAAAGGGGAUAUUAGCACACUUAAAUCAACGGUCAGGGAGAUCUCCAGAAACAGAAGGGAGAGAUGAGUCAGCACAAUAGCAACAAGAACCAAAACUCACUGAGUCAACCCACUCAGCCACCCUCUUCUCUCUCUAUUCUCUCACCAAACCAAACCCGAAUCAACCCAACCCUUUCUUCCUCACUACCUCUUUCUUCCUCUUUUACCUUUCUCCCUGCUCGUUUAUUCGUUCACCAUUACCAUAUCUCCUCUUUUCUGUACCCUUUUCGGUCUUUUCACCACUUCCAAAUCGGACGGCCCGCUUUCCUCCACGUCACCAUCGUCUUCUUCACCUCCUCAUCUCCUGUCAUCUUCUCUCCCUGUCUCCCUUCCUUAUUUACAAAUUACAUGCGCCUCUCGCCCUUUUUUUUGGUCUUCUCCAUAAGAAUCUCACUCCAUCUCUGGCGCGAACAAGGGUUAUGUUUUGAAAUUGGAGCGGGUUACUUAUCGUAUAUUGCUUGCGUGGAUGGCGAUUGAGAAGAACAAUUUCAAGGUAUCUAAUAAGUUUGACGCGGAGCUUUCUCCUGAUAGCAGGGAUACUGCCAUGUCCAGUGACGAGGACGAGGAUGAAGAUGACCUUCUUCAUCAGCAGCGGAUUGGGUCUGAUGAGGAUGAAGAGGAUGACGUUGAUGUUGAAGAGGGUGACGAAGACGACGAAGAAUUCAACGAUGCUGAUUCUGGGGCAGGAUCUGAUGAUUUUGACUUGCUAGAAUUAGGGGAAACCAGGGCUGAGUUUUGCCAAUUCGGGAAUUUAACUUGCAGUGUUCCCUUUGAAUUGUAUGACCUUCCUGGAUUGCAGGACAUAUUGUCUGUUGAUGUGUGGAAUGAUGUUUUAACCGAAGAUGAUAAAUUUAGCCUCACUAAGUAUUUACCUGACGUUGAUCAGGAUACCUUUCUGCGAACCCUCAAAGAGCUUCUUGAGGGUGGGAAUUUCCAUUUUGGUAGUCCCGUCAACAAAUUGUUUCAGAUGCUCAAGGGGGGGUUGUGUGAACCGAGGGUUGCCCUUUACAGAGAUGCUUUGUAUUUCUUUCAGCAAAGGCAGCAUUACCAUCUUUUGAGGAAGCAUCAGAAUAGUAUGGUUAGUCAUUUGUGCCAGAUAAGAGAUGCUUGGCAUGAUUGUAAAGGGUAUAGCAUUGGUGAGAAGCUUAGAGUUUUGAAUAUCAUGAAGAGUCAUAAGAGUUUGAUGCAUGAGAAUGCGGAGGGAGAAUUGGAGAGUGGCUCAUCGGACCAAGGGGAACCAGGUGAUAGGUUUUGGGACAGAAGGGUUAAAAAUAAGAAGAGUGCAUCCAAAUUUGAUCGUACUUCAGCAUAUGGCGUUGAUUCUGGUUUGGAAUUUUCUUCACAAGUUGCAAAGUAUGGAAAGCAAAAUCCCAGGGGUAUACUGAAGUCAGCUGGGUCAAGAGAUCCUUCAACUAGAGAUGUGCCGGGUCGCUUUCCUUCUGUUUAUCAUGGUUUGGGGAUGACUUCAAGUCCCCAUGGAUCAGCAUUGACACUUUCUAGGCAGAAUAAGCUUGCUGGGUAUGACUCAGGAGAUGCACCCAGGCUAAGGGAUCAAAUGACAAUUGAAAAGGAUGAUACUGAAUAUGCAAUGUACAGAAUGGGUGUCCAACGAGAUCGAAAUAUGGCACUUGGUGGUGAUAUGGUGAAGUCCAGGGUUCGAAAAGCAGGAAAGAAGCAUGAUUUCUUGAGAACUAACAGAUUAGAUGCUGACAGUUUCAUGAAUUUGCCAUUCUCUUCAAACAACGACUUGCAUGCCCACGGCAGGGACAAUAAUGCAGGUCAGCUGUCAGAAGCUAAAGCGUUCACAUCAAAUAUUCUCUAUAACCGGACCAAGUCCGAGUCUUCCAAAAAGACCAAGUAUGCUGAAAAUUCUCCGCAAUUCUCAGUUCCUGAUCAGAUGAAAUACUCGAAAGGCCAAGCUCUGCUGCUACCACUGAAAGGUAAUCGAGUUGACUUAUCAGAUCAUGCUGAACCAAUUUGCCAUAGCAAUAAUCAAGGACAGGUUUUCUCUAUGGAUUCUACAUUUAAAUCUAAUGAUUGGAAUAUGAGAAGUAAGAAAUGUAGGACGGGGAGAGAGUCCCCGGAUCUUAAUUUCAAAGCUCAUCGAGCAUUGUCGCCCCAGGUGAAUGAUGGAAUUGCGCUGCCUCGGGUGAAAGCAAAGCAAUCACGGGAGAAGAUCAGAGGGAGUGUUAUUCAGAAUGGAAGAUCAGAAAAGAGAGCAUUGAAAGCUAACAGAAUUUAUAUAAAAGGUGAAGAAACAGAAUCAGACUCAUCUGAACAAUUUUAUGAUGAGGAUGAUGAGGGUAGCAAUCCUUUGAUGAAAAGCAAGUCAGCUUACCCUGUCAGUAUCAUAGAAGGUUCUCGGUCGUCCUUUUUGAAGUCUAGCUUAGGUGCUAAAAAGGCCUCCUUUAUUAAGAAAGAUGUGCAGGAGAAUGAACUGGCUUCCGAUGGAAUUGCACACUUUUCCCAAAAGGUGAGUGACUUUACUGAGCCUGGGCAAAUGCCAAGAUACUUGUCAAAAGCUAAACAAAAGGGUAAGAUGCAUGAGACACAUAGCUCUAGUGCUAGAGUUUUGGAAGACAGCUCUCUCACUGGCCUGGGUAAACUAAAGGAUGAUAAUGACAGAAACAGAAUUCACAGAUCUGGCAAGAUUGGUCAAUUACGGGUGGAAUAUGAUGAAAGGUUACGCAGGUCCUCAUCGAAAGCCUACCCUUCUGACCGAAAGCAGAAAGGGGAAGUCAGCCAUGAUUUCAUUGUUGACGAUGAGGAUGGUUUACUUGAAACACAGUUACUGUCAGAUGAAAAUGCACUGGUUAGAUUGCGAAAGAAAGGACGGAACAUGGAAACAUAUGCUCAUGGUCAAAGUGACCCACCUGAGGCUUUGUUGCUGGGGUGCAACUCAGGGAUGAAGAAACGGAAAGCAAAGUACGAUGUGAUGGACAUGGCUGGCAGAGACGAAGAUGGUAAUAGGCAUUCUAACAGUGUUGAGCCGCAAAUUGACAACUCCAUUUCAUUGAAGAAAAAAGGGAAAAGGAAAUUGGAAGCUGACGAUGUUAUUCCAGACUGGGAAACUCCUGAGGCACCUGUUACAAAAACAGGAGUGGUGGAUGUGGAGCUGGAAGUGAAGCCUCAGAAAAAGCCAUAUACACCGAUUACACCAACAGUUCAUGUUGGCUUCUCAUUUUCCAUUAUACAUCUCCUUUCAGCAGUUCGUUUGGCAAUGAUCACUCCUCUUUCAGAAGAUUCCUUAGAGGUUGGCAAACCCACAGCAGAGCUGAACAGAGCACAUGAAGGUGACAACAAUGGGGUUCUUUCUAAUGAGAAUGCAGAUGUUAAUGAAUCAGACCCUGCUGUGCAAGUGAAAAUGCCUUCUCUUACUGUACAGGAGAUUGUUAAUCGUGUGAGAUCAAACCCUAUGGAUCCCUGCAUUCUUGAGACGCAGGAGCCACUCCAGGAUUUGAUCAGAGGAGUUCUCAAGAUAUUUUCAUCAAAAACAGCGCCUCUAGGAAUGAAGGGCUGGAAAGCACUUGUAUUUUAUGACAAAUCUACAAAAAGUUGGUCCUGGAUUGGUCCAGUUUCUCACAUUUUGACAGAUCAUGACACUAUUGUUGAAGGGACGUCUCCUGAAUAUUGGAGCCUUCCUCACAAAAGUUGUGUCAAGUUGGUCGACUCUUUUGCUAAUUGGCUGAAAAGUGGGCAAGAGACUCUUCAACAAAUUGGAAGUCUUCCUGCACCGCCUCUGUCAUUGAUGCAAUGUAACCUGGAUGAGAAAGAGAGGUUCAGGGACUUGAGAGCUCAGAAAAGUCUCAAUACUAUCAGCCCGAGUUCUGAAGAAGUGAGAGCUUAUUUCCACAGGGAAGAAGUCCUGAGGUAUUUGAUUCCCGACAGGGCCUUCUCAUACACUGCUGCUGAUGGUAAAAAGUCUAUUGUUGCUCCCUUGAGGAGGUGUGGUGGGAAGCCAACUUCAAAAGCUCGAGACCAUUUCAUGCUGAAGCGUGAUCGACCACCUCAUGUUACGAUUCUUUGUCUUGUGAGAGAUGCAGCUGCUAGAUUGCCAGGAAGCAUCGGCACUAGAGCAGAUGUUUGUACUUUGAUACGAGACUCUCAGUAUACUGUCGAAGAUGUGUCUGAUGCACAAGUGAAUCAAGUUGUCAGUGGAGCCUUGGAUCGUUUGCAUUAUGAGCGUGAUCCCUGUGUGCAAUUUGAUGGAGAAAGGAAAUUGUGGGUUUACCUGCACAGAGAUCGAGAAGAAGAAGAUUUUGAAGAUGACGGUACUUCAUCUACUAAGAAAUGGAAGAGACAGAAAAAAGACCCUGCUGAUCUAUCUGAUCAAGGAACAGUUACUGUUGCUUUUCAUGGGGCAGGGGAUCAAUCUGGAUUUGAUUUGGGCUCUGACCUCAACGCUGAGCCACCAGCUGAUGAUGAUGAUAAAAGAGCAGAUCUUGUUUGUAGUGAUGUGAGACACAGUGCGGAAGAUCCUGUUGACACCACUCAUGUGCUCCAGCAAUGCAGCACAUAUCAGGGUGAAUCAAUGGUUUGGGAGGCCCUGAGCUUAAAUCCAUUGCAAGAGAACAAAUUGAUAUGCCAAGAAGAUUCCACAAAUGAAGAUUUUGAUGAUGAAACAUUUGAGACAGAAAGGCCAGAUGGAAUCUUAAGUACAAGCUUAUUAUGAAUAAUUUUUCAGAUUAUCAUAAACUGAUGUGCUGCUAUGCAUCCAAUCACAAUGACUGUUGAGAUGCAGAACGUUGCUUGCUGUCAAGGUUUCAUAAAGAUUUUGAAGUGCUACUUUAAUGUACAUGGUGGUAGUUUGACUGGGGAUUUAGGGAAGGAGGGACCUCCAUAGGUAGUUCAUUCAAGUAGGCACAUGGAACGUUUCCUGGCACCAUAAAUUGGAGAGGGCAUUUAGAAGAUCAGCGCAGCUAGGGGUUGUGACAGAAUAAGUUAGAAUUGUGCUGGUGCAGAAGUCUGUCUAUGCUAGAAGUAAUGUGCCAGUCAUCCUCUCCAAGCUGUCAUGCAUAAAAUGCUAUUGUAUGUACAUUGAUGAUUUUAGUGCAAAAUGUAGAAUAGCAAGUGACCAGACUUUCUAUUCCUUGUUUGAGGUCCAGAAUAUGUCCAUUAGCUGGUUCUGUAAUCCCAAAAUAACGUUUCCUUUGCUUUCUAAUUCGUUAUGCAGAUCAUUUCGAAAUGUAGGCCAUCCAUCCUACUUCCCUUGAAAUGAACAAGGAUUGCUCCUUCGACAUCUGUUAUGCUCUCUGGCUCUUACCACUAGCGGAUCAUUCUGCUCUCAGCAACGUCCCAAAGUAGCAGUUGAAUUCAAAUCCUCACACAGGUUAGAGAGGAGAAACUUCUACCAUAACUUAAGCAGAACACUCGCUCCAUCUGUAUCAUAUCAAAUUUUCCGAACGAGUGCAUUAUCAAGUCA